AACCAUAGAAACCUGCGGAGUACCUGCGGAAGGAUCAUUACCGAGUUUACAACUCCCAAACCCCUGUGAACAUACCUAUACGUUGCCUCGGCGGAUCAGCCCGCGCCCCGUAAAACGGGACGGCCCGCCCGAGGACCCUAAACUCUGUUUUUAGUGGAACUUCUGAGUAAAACAAACAAAUAAAUCAAAACUUUCAGCAACGGAUCU
rnacentral:misc_RNA from 1 species